UCGAGCGCACCGCAAGGUGAGCGGCGGACGGGUGAGUAACGCGUGGGAACGUACCUUUUGCUUCGGAAUAGCCUCGGGAAACUGAGAGUAAUACCGGAUGUGCCCUAUGGGGGAAAGAUUUAUCGGCAAAAGAUCGGCCCGCGUUGGAUUAGGUAGUUGGUGGGGUAAUGGCCUACCAAGCCUACGAUCCAUAGCUGGUUUGAGAGGAUGAUCAGCCACACUGGGACUGAGACACGGCCCAG
rnacentral:rRNA from 1 species